GAUGAACGCUGGCGGCGUGCCUAAUACAUGCAAGUCGAGCGAACAGACGAGGAGCUUGCUCCUCUGACGUUAGCGGCGGACGGGUGAGUAACACGUGGAUAACCUACCUAUAAGACUGGGAUAACUUCGGGAAACCGGAGCUAAUACCGGAUAAUAUAUUGAACCGCAUGGUUCAAUAGUGAAAGACGGUUUUGCUGUCACUUAUAGAUGGAUCCGCGCUGCAUUAGCUAGUUGGUAAGGUAACGGCUUACCAAGGCGACGAUGCGUAGCCGACCUCAGAGGGUGAUCGGCCACACUGGAACUGAAACACGGUCCAGACUCCUACGGGAGGCAGCAGUAGGGAAUCUUCCGCAAUGGGCGAGAACCUGACGGAGCAACGCCGCGUGAGUGAUGACGGUCUUCGGAUCGUAAAACUCUGUUAUUAGGGAAGAACAAAUUUGUAAGUAACUAUGCACGUCUUGACGGUACCUAAUCAGAAAGCCACGGCUAACUACGUG
rnacentral:rRNA from 1 species